rfam:Dactylellina haptotyla CBS 200.50 unplaced genomic scaffold scaffold00372, whole genome shotgun sequence.
GCGUUUGUGGUUUAGUGGUAAAAUUGAUCGUUGCCAAGCUACAAGCACAGUAUCGAUCAGCCCCGGGUUCGAUUCCCGGCGGACGCA